UCUAUUUUUUUCUUAAGUUUGUGUUGCUUACCUGCACUUUGACACUGUUAGGAACCUCUUUCUCCUGCCCUGUGACCACUGAUGUGUCUUUAUGACCCAUCUCAGAGGCGGACUCCCACUAGAGAACCACUGCAUUAUACUAACAGAAUGACUGACUGGCAAUCAGGAUCCAACUCUCUAUGGCUAUCCUGACACAGAUGCAUGACAAUUUGGCAGAAGAGUUCAGAUCGACUUUGGCUCAGCAUGAAAACCACAGAUGAAGAGGGUUCCAACGCAGUGGGCUCUGACCAAACAACGCAGUAUUCAGCAAAAAAGCUGGACCUGGCUCAAACUCCGGUGCAACAUCAUCUGAAAAGAUGUGCUGUGCUGAAAUAUGCUGUUCAAAAAAAAUAAAGGGAACACUUAAACAA